UGACCUAAGUGAGAGGGUGGAGAAAGGGUAAGAAAGGGAAUUUUAAUUCUUAGGGAGUGUUAGAAUGGGAACACUCUUUCUCUUCCCAGGGUUCAAAAAUGGAGCCCAAAAUAUUUCAACUUCUGUGAUAAGAGGCAGGUAACAUCUCCAAGAAUAAUUCACGUAAAGAUUAUUAUCCCAUGAGAAUGAAAACACACUGAUUUUCUUUUUCUAUAUCUUUCUAGGUCCUGGCUUACCCACCUCUAACUCUAUUGCCAAAGCACUAUGCCAGCAAAGGCUUGAUUGUCAAAAGAGUAUGGCAAUUCAUGGUGAAAGGGGGGAAAAAAACCCACACACUGGAAGAUAAGAGGAUGCCAAUGGAGCAGACAGUGGCAGCUCCUUCCUAAGCUUAUUAAUUUCCCACAGGGAGGUCUCUGGAAGGGGCUGUGAGGGUUGAGGGAGGAAGAGAAUAGAUCUUCAAGGAGGAGUAUUGUAUUACCUAGACUCACCAUUCAGAAUAAGGAACUUUUUAAGGGAUAAACUUUACUGACUACUUGUACAUGAAAGAGAAACAGAAAUGAUGGGCUGGUCAAUUAAGAAAAACACCAGGCCUGUGCCAAAAAUGUUGUUCAGAGGGUUGUUAACUCAUUUUCUACCACUUUGCCUUUAUCAAGAGAAAGAUACAUGGUGGGUUUUUAAAAAGACCCAGAGGGGUUUGUUUGUUUGUUUUACAUUUUGGUGAGUCGAGAAGAGCCAUGCUUGCUGAGUUGGCUAAAGGAUGAUGUGAGGGGGUGGGGUGUGGGAAGGGCUACUCGUUUUUUAUAAGUAUACAUUGCAAACUCAGUUUAGGUCUGUUCCUCACCCUAAGUAUUGUAGUUGGCUCACUGGGUAUUACAUGAGCGAAUGUUUUCCAGGCUGGCCCUGGGAAAGCCAGAGACUCAGGGUUGGGUAAUUUUGUAGCCUGUGAGGAAGGACUUCAGGCUCCCAACUGUAGGGAUCAUUACUCCUGACUCAUACUUUUCUCUCUUGGGCUUUUCCUCAUAAAUGAUCCUGCUUUUAAUCCUGCUGCUCCUGCAGCUACUACCACCACCAUUAUCAUUACAAUGAUAAUCUACCUUUCUCAAGUUUAAAACUUUCUGUCCUAGCCAUUCCCAAGUUUUACUUACACUUGUGUUGGAGUUCAGCUGAGAAUGGGAUAGUCUUUGAAAGCUGUAUGUUAUUAUCUUCCUCUUCUGGAUCUGGGUUGUAGUGAACUGGCUUAAUGGCCUCUGAGUAUGACUUUUAGAAGGGCUAGCAAACCGAAGUGACAUUGUGCACAACUACCAACAGAUAUGAGAUCAGUGCCUCAUACUCAUCUGUGUGAGUGUGACCUCUGAACCAAAUCCAAUAUCCACUAUUUCAACCCCCUGGGUUCUCCCAAAUGUUAUACUCUUCCCCAGAUGAGUGUGUAAAGAUCUGGCAAGAAAAGGCUUGGAUUUUUGUCAAAUCUGUAGGUUCCAAAGUCCUUCCUAGACUCAGACACCACACCCUUUGAACGCAUCUCAGUGUGAAGGGGGUUGACUGGUUGUAGCCAGGUCUCCAUCAGUCACUCUGAACCUCCUUACCCUCUAGGUCAGGAUUUUUAGGCAGACUGCAGAUCAGGGGAUGUCUAGCAGUCUCAAAUUGGUGUCCAGCAGUCUCAAAUGAAAUUUUGAGAAGUCUAACUCUAGGCCUUGGGAAUGUGACAACAUUGAGAGGCUUUACAUCAAAUUUCUUCACACAGCCAGGAGAAUGGACAUCAUCCCAAUUCAGUACCUGUGUGCCACCCUUUUCUUCUCUGUUUUAGGUGGAUUGUAAUUCCUGAGUUAAAUAAAAAGGCAACGAUAGACACACAGCAUAUAUAUCCUGGGCAGACUACACUCCUUGACAUCUAAUCCCAGUUAGCUUUCUGAGGUAUGGACUGUAAGAAUUCGGGCUGCUGGGGAAAAAGCAGCAGAAAGCAUGGCUCUUCUGGGAAAGAGGUCUAGGCAGGGGACACAAAUGUCCAGUACUUGGAAUAAAUCCAUGGUACAUUUUCCUGAGGCCUGAAGAGAGAGACAUUUCAUUUUCUCCAGGAAGAGAGAAGCGAGAGAAAGAAAGUGAAAAGAAAGGAAGAAAGAGAGAGAGAGUAUUUGAGAAGUGGAUACCAGUUAGGAACCACAAUAGUGGUGAUUUACCUCGUAUUAAAGAGUAUUGGAAAUAUGGUUCAAUUUCUUCACAAAUUAUGCUCCCAAACUGCUCCCUUGCUCAUAUUGCCAACUGAACUCUGAGUGAAAACUGUCUUUCAUGAUUUCAGUUCAAUUAAUCCCAGGUGUUCUAUGAUUUAAUUCAGGGGUAUUAAUUUAGCAUCAAUGGGGGAUGUCUCCCAAAACAUUAUACGAAGAGGUGUUAGUUUUCAGAAGAUUUUCAAAAACACUUGAAAGCUACCAAUGUAAGUCUUUCCUCACUGCUAAUACUUGGAAAGGUGGUCUCCUUAAAAAAAUUCAAAGAUCAACAUGUCACAAAUGCAGCAACAUCAUUAUUACUAUAAACACUUCUGGACUUACAUUAUGAAGUGGAGGCAAGAAUAGGCAAGGAUUGUAACAUAUUUGUUCUCUUGAACUUGCUGAGCGAAAAGCUGCUUCCCAGGCUGAUUUGAUAGUAUCUGUAAUAUAAUAUAGUAACCAUGGUAUUAUUCAUAAUCUCCUUUUAAGGAAGUUUAAAGGAAAACUCAUAUUUUUCAAAGAAAUAAUACCCGGAAUUGCUAAAUAAAACACUCAUACAUUCCUAAGAAUAAACAUGUUGAAUAUAAUGACAUAGAUGUUGAGAUUUGCUAGGCCUAGAAUUUAACUUAGGCCUGAAUAACUUUAUACCUGAGCAGAAAUGGUCCUCUAUGCAUAUAUGGGUAUGGGUGUGUGUUUAAGAAGGUUGGGGUGAAUGUUGUCAAAGGCAGCAAUUAAAAAUAAAUUUUAGGACUGUCAUUUUACUUGGAUGCUUGUCCAUUAAGUAGCCAGUGCUCUUUUUUGGAUGUUUUCAUGUAAGGUGGUUUUGAGAAAAUAGUUUGUGUGAAGUCAUACAGGACAGCAAUUGGUCCCAAGGGAGCAAAUUGAAUAGCUAUAAAGAAUAUAUUUCCUGAGUAUAAUGUUACUAUCUAAUAUCUUGUGUGUGUGAUCAACUAUCCCACAGCAUUAUCUAUAUUCUAGAGUCAGUUUACUGAAGUCCUAAGACAUCUAUGUUCCAGAUAAGUGGUGUUCCCCUAAACUUGUGAAAAUAUCCUCGAGAAAGCCAAUUGCCAAUGCACUGAAUGCAACGAGUUUCAUUUCUAACCUGGGGGACUGAAUUAGCUGCUCCUCCUCAAGGCCCCACACAGCUGAGUUUGAGUCCUAAGUUUGGGAAGCAAGACAAGGCACAGAAGUGCCUGCUAGACUCGGACACUUCCUGAUGUCUAGAUUGUCCAGUGCCCAUGUCUUAGUGAAAGGUACAGCGACAGAGCUAAGAGUGCAGAGAAGGCCAAAUCACGGACUUCAAUGUUGGCAAACCGGGUUUCCCUGGGAGAGAUCCAAGGAGAGUAACGCCCCCACAGUAUCAGGAGGCGCAGACACGGAUCACAUCGUUUGAGCUGAUUCACCAAAGAGUGCAGAGCCCUGACACAGGAGGCUACCAGGGCAGAACAAAACAAGCCAUCAUCUGCCCGGCGUCGCCCUUGUAGACGCACAGUGCGCAAACCGUGAAUGUGGGGCAGUGUGGGGCCAAGCGGUGCGCUUGGUACGCUCCAAAUGAGCCCUGGGCGAAGCAGGGAGGAAAUGCAGUUCCCAAGGGCCCGCCACAUUUCCCAUAUUCUUUAGCCUUCCACCGGCAAUUAGUGCCAUCACUUGCUUCCCGCAAGUGACCACUUUACCUGCCGAAAGGCGUUCCAAGGGCGGGGCCUGCGGGAACCUAACACUCUUUCCACCACCCUCUCUCCCUGCCUCUGUGCACGACCUCGACCAGCUGGUGGCCUGAUCUCGUUUAGCAGGGCAGGAGCCUGUGUUCCCAUUUCUUACUAGCUGGGCUGCCGAUGACCUAGCUCAGCCUUGGUUUUCCUCCGGUUGAACAAAAGCUGGCAAGAGCUGCCUCCCGGAUCGCAGUGAGGACUCUAAGGGAACGAGGGCGAGCGCGCUUUGGAAGGCCAGUUGCUGAGCAGAUGGUAAGGGAUCACUUCCAAGAGCCAGGGCUAGUUUCAUUUCAGUCUUGGACACGAGAUGGUCUCAAUGCCUUCAUUAAUGAACAUUCUCCUUAGAAGUCUGGAGAACUGACCCAAGAAGAAGGACCAACAAUUCAGGCCCAGGAAAGCCCACAACUCCACAGGGGAACCAGGACUGCAUGGCUUCGAAUCCCAGCCCUCCCCACUCAGGAAACAUUGCUCCCCAAACGGCACGGAUUUUUGGACGCCUCCACCUUAAGACAGCUACUUCAGCCAGAACGUGGGACAGGCACUAACGGGAUAUCACCCUUGGGGAUAAACACGCUCCAGUUUCCUGUGGACGGUGGAAAAGGAAAGAACAGGAGAAGCUGCCAAAGGGAUGGGGUGUAGGAAGCUCAUCCUUGCACGUUUAGACUAGGGAAGAAGAGAAUAUUAGGGAUGGGGGAGGGGGGAGGAUGGGAAGUGUAGUUUUUCCCCUUCCUUCCUUUCAUUUCAGAUCCCAUUAGUGCUUUUAUUUCUUUGAUUUUGAAAACUAUUUCCCUUUCCUGAAUCUGGAUGCGGGAAGGGAGCGAGCUCAAGGAAAUGAUGAGCAUGGAUGAGAGCCAGGGGACAGGAGAUAUGUCCUGGGAACUCAAACUCUGCUGCUUCGCCACUGUCUCCGAGAGAGAUGCCCUGAGCCUUAGCCCAAUGUAAAGGGAGCUGAUUGGGUGUAUGGGCAGUGGCGGGUGGUCUGAGUAAGAAAUAAAAUGAGGGAAAGCCAGAUCUACUCCCAUCCCAAAGCAUUAAAAGACACACCUCCCCACCCCUCAGCUGUCUUGUGUCCGGCAGAAUGGCAUUAUGUAAAAGAUCUGGCAUGUCACCCAGUGGCACAUCUGGUAGGUGUAGAUGGCAUUCAUUAGCACGGGGCUUCUACUCUGCAGCAUGCCAAAGCUCUGACAGAGAUGCCCGCUGCCAAUCAUUCAUUGGCUGCCAAUCCCCAAGCGCGGCCGGGCGGGAUGGCUUCCUUCCACCCUGGCAUCAGGAGUGGAGGAAACAAUGUGUUGAGAUAGAAGAGAUGAAAGUGGAGCUGAGGAUGCGAGGCACCCAACAGAUGUAUCCCAUGAGGAGAUAACGGAGCUAAAAGUCAUUUAGCAAGAAAGCAUAUGCAGGAUCUCAGGAGGGAGGCUUGGGCAGGGGGUCUGCUUGCCUAGGGCUGAGCUGAAGGAAAAGCAGGGGAGCCCUUUCAGAAACCUGAAAGUUGAGGUUGCUUCUCUAAAAACACACAAAGACCAAAACCUCAACCCCCUAAGUGUAGGAUUUCCCCCUCUCUUUGGUUUGUCACUUGUAUCUCUUUUUAUCUAGCAACCUAACUACCUCUGUAAAGGUCAACCUUUGUCAUGUUUUUUUCUGAAGACCGAGAUGAAGAGCACCUUCCUGUUUUAAAUUUUGCAUAAUUCUCAUAGACUAGUAAUUUGGGGGCUAAGGGGAGGAAGACUGUCAGGCUAUCUUCAGUGCAUCGUAAAAGGCAAAGGUCUUAUUUCCAUUAUUAGCUUUUCAGAGGGGAUAAAGAUGAACAAAGGAAAGCAAGGAAAUUAUUAAAAUGGCAAAGGAAGAUUAAACACAAAAUCCAGGAUAGAGAUUGCCUUUGAGGUUGUUCUUUUUCUUAGGCUGGGUGGCAAUUAACAAAGUGUUCAGCGUAGUUUUUCUUUAUGCCAUAUACAUAUUUUACAUUCUUUUUAUCCAUUCACAAUUUAAUAAAGCAACAACAAAACUCAGGGCUUUGAAAGUUUGUGGAACUUGGUGUUUAAGUUGACUCUAACUUAAGCUCUUUAGUUUAUAUAUAUAAUAUAUAUUUGUGUGUAUUAUCUAUACAAUUAUACUCUUUUUAGUAUAUGUUAUAAAAUAUUUGGGACAUAUACUAUAAAUUUAUUCAUAUUUUAUCUAAAACUGAAACUUCAGUUGGCCAUUACAUAUAUUUAUUUGCUAAAUCUAGCAACCUUGGGUAUGUUGGCUCAUGGUCACAAUAUAGCUGCUGUAAUUCCAAGCAUCAAACCAUCGUUUUAAACAUGAAGAAAGGAACAGGGGCAAAAAGCUGUGGUUGUUUGCUUAAUCAAUGAAAAUAAUACUUUCACUUUCAUUAGGCAGACCUGGAUCUCCUGGCCACAUAUACAUGCAAAAGAGUUUGGGAAAAUUAGCCUUUAAAGUAUAAAAAGAUAGGGAUAAGGGACUGGGGAUGGUUGUUGGGUUGCAAUCAAAGGUGUCUGACAAAGAAACCCAAGAUCAAAGAAGAGUUAAUGUUAACAUCAAACAAGAGUAUAGCUUAUCAAGUUUUUUCAUUGUUUUAAUAAAAGUUUUCUGUUUUCAUUAUUGUGAUUAAAGGGAUACUGUUCUUGA